rnacentral:rRNA from 1 species
UACGAGGGGGGCGAGCGUUGUUCGGAAUUAUUGGGCGUAAAGGGUGCGUAGGCGGUUUGGUAAGUCUGAUGUGAAAUCUAUGGGCUCAACUCAUAGUCUGCAUCGGAAACUGCCGGGCUUGAGUGUGGGAGAGGUGAGUGGAAUUCCUGGUGUAGCGGUGAAAUGCGUAGAUAUCAGGAGGAGCACCUGUGGCGAAAGCGGCUCACUGGACCAUAACUGACGCUGAUGCACGAAAGCUAGGGGAGCAAACAGG